AGAUUCUGCCCUGAAAUGGUCACCAGGCUCUGCUUCUAUGUGGAUCUUUGUCUCCUGUGGGCAGGAAACCUGGAUGCCCGAAUCACCCAGAGCCCAAGUUACAAGGUUGUGGAGACAGAAAAGAAUGUGACACUGAGUUGUCACCAGACUAAUAACCACGAAGUUAUGUAUUGGUAUCGCCAAGACCUGAGCCAUGAGCUGAGGCUGAUCUAUUACUCAGUUGGAGCUGGGAUCACUGCCAAAGGAGACGGUGCUGAUGGGUACAGUGUCUCUAGAUCAAAUACAGAGUACUUUGUCCUCACACUGGAGUCAGCGAUGCCCUCCCAGACAUCUGUGUACUUCUGUGCCAGCCGUGAAGCCACAGCAUUGCAGGGCCACCUCUUCUCUGCACGAAAAGCCAGAAGGAGGCCCUGCACCCUGGACUUAGGGGAGCCCUAAACGAACUUUACACCACGGAGCCCCUGUGGCCUGAGACCAUAGAUUGAACCUCUGUGUGUGGUGAAGUCCACCUCCAGAGUAUUAUCUGCCAGAUCUGCAUCAGGCCCAGGGCCUCAGACACCUACUUCCCCCUGUUGCUGUCUAUCAGACUAACAUCUGCAGAUGGCCUGUUACAUGGGAAGAUGCUUCCCUUGCUUUAGGUUUUCACCUCAUCACACUAGUGUCUUAAAGGUCAAUAAAAUGGAGUCCUCUUCCAGAAAGAAGCUAUAGGAACAUAUUGUUUACUGCAUGGCAACCAAGAAGGACAUAAGACAUUGCUAUGAGCUGUAGAGAAAUAAAAAUAAAUGGAGGUUAAUGAACACAGUGAAGGCACUUGGUUGUGACCUGUAGAAACAACAGGAACUUCUGAUUAUGUGGGACAAUAUUUUUUUCUUUCUUAUUGUAGUUAAAUGAAUGAAGUAUCUCAAAACUGCUAGAAUCUUAGAAGAUAUAAUUAGUU